rnacentral:misc_RNA from 1 species
UUAAUUAUAUUUUCUCAUUCAGACAUCAAGACUAGAUACAGCAUUAAUACGGCACUGAAGCGCCGAAGCACAAUCUUUAAUUCCACAGGUUUGAAGGGUCGAAGGUCCAGAGGGCCAUUCGGUAAUGAUCCCUCCGCAGGUUCACCUACGGAGA